UUUCUCUUAGUCACUUGUCCACUCUCGGGUCUCUUACUCAUAGUCUCUCCUCUCAGUUCUUUGAGACUCUUAGUUCUCGACUCCCUUCUACGAUGACCCAUGUUUGGUGGUCCCGUGGUGACAUGCAUCAGAAGGUGGGACGGUCAGAGGUGAUAUAAGUAUAGAACAAGUCCCUUGUUCUCCCGCGAUCUUUUUGGAGAAACAAAGAGGGGGCGAAGGCCCCAUUAAGUAAUCCUACGAGUCGAGGCACGUCCAGCGUCCGCAUUUAAGAGGUCUAAGAGUUGAUCAGGUGGGUCCUCGAAAAUCGACGUCCCCCAAGCACUAGAUUGUCCGAUGUUGGCGAGCUUGUAUGCACAUUUAUUCCCUUCUCUCCAUACAUGGGAAAUCCGAGUCAAGUCGAUGUUUGACUUUCUUAUGAAAAUAUAUUCUGAAUGUGAGUUUUGUUAUUUUCUUUAUUGAAUACUGAUAUCCAUCUUUAUAGAUGGAAAACAUCAGUGUAUUUGGGGCAUCCUCAAACCUCAACUAAGGAAGAACAUGGAGUGGAAGCCCAUGGUACUAAGACAACGUAACUACUUAGCAACCAAUGGUGACUCCGGCCUCAAGUUUUUCCUGCAAAGAAGAUGAAAGAGGUUGAGUAUAAAUUCCGAGGUUGAGUAUAAAUUCCAAGUUUGGGAUCACUUUGAAAAGAUCUUAAAUGUCGAAGAUAAAGUUGUUAAAGUGAAGUGUGUUUAUUGUGUAAAACUCUUUGCAUAUGAGUUUAAAAAACAUGGCACUUUCUCUUUAAGAAAUCAUAUGCCCUCUAAAAAACUU